rnacentral:rRNA from 1 species
AACGAACGCUGGCGGCCGGCUUAACACAUGCAAGUCGAGCGCCCCGCAAGGGGAGCGGCAGACGGGUGAGUAACGCGUGGGAAUCUACCCAUCUCUACGGAAUAACGCAUGGAAACGUGUGCUAAUACCGUAUACAUCCUUCGGGAGAAAGAUUUAUCGGAGAUGGAUGAGCCCGCGUUGGAUUAGCUAGUUGGUGGGGUAAAGGCCUACCAAGGCGACGAUCCAUAGCUGGUCUGAGAGGAUGAUCAGCCACACUGGGACUGAGACACGGCCCAGACUCCUACGGGAGGCAGCAGUGGGGAAUAUUGGACAAUGGGCGCAAGCCUGAUCCAGCCAUGCCGCGUGAGUGAUGAAGGCCCUAGGGUUGUAAAGCUCUUUCACCGGUGAAGAUAAUGACGGUAACCGGAGAAGAAGCCCCGGCUAACUUCGUGCCAGCCGCCGCGGUAACAC